GUACAAUUAUGGAUCCCACUAAUAUUACAAAGGCGAAAAUGUGUACUUUUAUUACCUCACGUUCACCUGUUUUUGACCUCGAGUCAAUAACUAUGUCAAUUCCAAAUUUCAUCCAAAUCUGUCCAGCCCUGAAAGUGUGACAGAAUGAGUGACAGACUACAUAUAAUUAGUCUUAACGUGGAUGGAGUCGCGGGCAGCUGCCAGUAAGUAUAAAUACCUAUUUACUGACUGUUAUUGUCCGCGACUCAUUCCGCGGUAUUUAAAUUUUGCAACAAAUCUUUACUUAUAAUGAUACUAGAUAGAUCACGAUGGAAUGAUAUCAAAUUAUGUAAUAGAUUUUAAGUGAUUAUUAUAGUGAUAAAUGUUUAGUAUAUAUACACAGGUUGAUUUCAUUUUUAAAUCGUAGUCACACUUGAUAGUAGAUUUAAUUAACAGUUAAUUAAAUUUAGACAUUGUAAAUUUAAUUAAAUUUGUUAAUUUAAAUUCAAAAUAUGGUAAGGAAAAUUGUAAUUUUUGCGGCUGUUUUUAUUCAGGUCAUAAAUUCACAAUUAAUCAUAGCUCCAAUCAACUACCCGAUUCUAAGCGAGUUAUUCGAGAGACGAAACCAGCCUGUCCCACCCCUGUCACCAGUCGAAAGCGACGCGUUAUGCAAAAAUUACGCAUCGUCUAUCCAGAACGUUAUUUUCGAAAAAUUCGCCCAAAACUGUUUGAGAAAACCCGUUCUCGGACAAAUGUCCGGACCGUUGGUUAACGAAAUAUCGUCAAAUGUAUGUAAAUGUCCCCUUUGCUCCGCUGUGAGUAUUUCACCAAACGGUUACACGAAAGCCUAUAUAACUCCAUCAACUGUAUCGAAUUUAAUAAGUAAAGCAAACGGCUGUAAUUGUAAUAACUGUAACGUUGCGAACAACGUUAUUAAUAAUGUACCGGUUAAUAACUUACCGGUUAAUUUCGUUAUUCCGAAUAACGUUAUAAAUAAUAAUGUGAAACCGAUUAAUAACUUUAAAAAUGUACAAAUAACCGAUCUUUUGUCGCUUUUGAAAGGGUUAGAGUGUUCUUGUCAAGGGCCCGUUUUGGUUUAGUGUUAUUUAAUCUUUAUUUAAUGUUAAUGUAAGUUAUUUAUUUAAAUAUAUUAUUUAUUUUGGUUUUUA